UUUUGCCUUGUAGAAGAUUUGC
rnacentral:piRNA from 1 species